GUCUAUAUAUCAUGCUAUUGAUGGAAAAAUAAUUUUUUUAUCUUAAAAAAUAUGAAAAAAAUGGAUAAAUUGAUCUGUGAAAGUUGAUCAAAUUUUUUUAAUAUUUAUUCAGAAAAAAAUAAUUUAUUUAUCUAAAAAAUUAUAAAAAAAUAAAUAAAUUGAUCGAUGCGGAAGUUGACUAAUUUUUCUAUAAUAUUUACCAA
rnacentral:lncRNA from 1 species